rnacentral:misc_RNA from 1 species
GAAAUGCGAUAAGUAAUGCGAAUUGCAGAAUUCCGUGAGUCAUCGAAUCUUUGAACGCACAUUGCGCCCUUUGGUAUUCCGAAGGGCAUGCCUGUUCGAGCGUCAUUAUCAACCCUCAAGCCCGGCUUGCUGUUGGGCCCUGCACCGUUUAAGCACGGUGGGCCCGAAAGAUAAUGGCAGAGUCCGUGGGACCCUGGAUACAGCGAGCUUCUUAGCACGUAUCGGGGCGUCUCCCGGCUCGGUCUUAACCAACUUUACUUCUAUGGUUGACCUCGGAUCAGGUAGGGAUACCCGCUGAACUUAA